GUCCAGCAGCUAAAGGACAUCUGGUGUCGCGCCAGUAAGACCUUCAACAGUCAAUACUCGCGGUUCCGGGCUGAGGAUUCAGAUGAGGAUGGGGGCAGUAGGGAGCGAGAAAACCCCGUCAGGAGGAGCCAGCGCCGUAAGGCCAUCGACCACUUGGUGGAUCUGGGACGAAAAGCUUCUAUCUAUCUCAAGGAAAUGUUCGACAGCCUUUGAAUCUGAAUAAACUUUAAGAU